GAUUAACGCUGGCGGCGUGCCUAACACAUGCAAGUCGAGCGGCAGCGAGUUUUCCACUGAAUUCUGGAAGCUUCUAGUUGAAAGAGAAGAUUUAUUCAAGAAUUUUGUGUAAAAUGUCGGCGAGCGGCGGACGGCUGAGUAACGCGUGGGAACGUACCCCAAAGUGAGGGAUAACGCAUCGAAAGGUGUGCUAAUACCGCAUAUGGUCUUCGGAUUAAAGCCUUCGGGCGCUUUGGGAACGGCCUGCGUAAGAUUAGAUAGUUGGUGGGGUAAUGGCCUACCAAGUCGACGAUCUGUAACUGGUUUGAGAGGAUGAUCAGUCAGACUGGAACUGAGACACGGUCCAGACUCCUACGGGAGGCAGCAGUGAGGAAUCUUCCACAAUGGGCGAAAGCCUGAUGGAGCAACGCCGCGUGCAGGAUGAAGGCCUUCGGGUUGUAAACUGCUUUUAUAAGUGAGGAUUAUGACAGUAACUUAUGAAUAAGGAUCGGCUAACUACGUG
rnacentral:rRNA from 1 species